rnacentral:lncRNA from 1 species
UACAACACCCUUUCACCAGCUCCAAGAUCUUGCUUACUUCAGUGUCAACCUAUGAAGAUGUCGAAUUCUUAACCUGAGCUGACAUGGUUCAUACCGACAGCCAAUGGCAAGCUGAACUGAACAAAUCUUUUAAUUGCUUCAGAGAAGACACGAGAUUCAACUUAAAUGAUUCAAAACCAACCCUGUCUUCAGCAGUCAUUAAAAGAAGCGCUAUCUUCUGUUCAUGAGAACUAAAGGACGUUACGGCAGCUAAUGAAGAUCAGAGUGACUUGAUAAAUUACCUUUUCUGCUAACAAGUGUCUGAAUUGUUUACUAUCACCUGCAACUGAAAAGCCCUUUGAAUACAAGAACUUGAAGCAGAAACAGAAGACAAAAUAACCCUGAUAAUUAAGUCAACGGACAAUGUAGACUUCUUCUGACAGAUGCUUAUGUCUUCUGGACCUGAUUGCAUGGAUAACCAUCAGGAAAUUAGGAUAACUUGGAACCAAACCUCAAAAAACCUUGUGGGUAUGGAAUUGGUACAUGGAGCUGUGCAGAAUCCAACAGAUAUGAAGCCUAUCAAACGUUUGAGAGAAUUUCACUGCCAAAGGAAGCCCACGACUGGAC